GAUGAACGCUGGCGGCGUGCCUAACACAUGCAAGUCGAGCGAGGGUUUGCUCAGUAUUGAGUAUUCUAAGUCUAGAAUGUUCAAUUCUGAGCAAAACCAAGCGGCGGACGGGUGAGUAACGCGUGGGUAACCUGCCCUAUACACAUGGAUAACAUACUGAAAAGUUUACUAAUACAUGAUAAUAUAUAUUUGCGGCAUCGCAGAUAUAUCAAAGUGUUAGCGGUAUAGGAUGGACCCGCGUCUGAUUAGCUAGUUGGUGAGAUAACUGCCCACCAAGGCGACGAUCAGUAGCCGACCUGAGAGGGUGAUCGGCCACAUUGGAACUGAGACACGGUCCAAACUCCUACGGGAGGCAGCAGUGGGGAAUAUUGCACAAUGGGCGAAAGCCUGAUGCAGCAACGCCGCGUGAACGAUGAAGGUCUUCGGAUCGUAAAGUUCUGUUGCAGGG
rnacentral:rRNA from 1 species